GGUGGUGCAUGGUUGUCGUCAGCUCGUGUCGUGAGAUGUUGGGUUAAGUCCCGCAACGAGCGCAACCCUUAUUGUUAGUUGCCAGCAUUAAGUUGGGCACUCUAGCAAGACUGCCGGUGACAAACCGGAGGAAGGUGGGGAUGACGUCAAAUCAUCAUGCCCCUUAUGACCUGGGCUACACACGUGCUACAAUGGACGGUACAACGAGUCGCAAGACCGCGAGGUUUAGCAAAUCUCUUAAAGCCGUUCUCAGUUCGGAUUGUAGGCUGCAACUCGCCUACAUGAAGUCGGAAUCGCUAGUAAUCGCGGAUCAGCAUGCCGCGGUGAAUACGUUCCCGGGCCUUGUACACACCGCCCGUCACACCAUGAGAGUUUGUAACACCCAAAGCCGGUGGGGUAACCUUUUGGAGCCAGCCGUCUAAGGUGGGAUAGAUGAUUAGGGUGAAGUCGUAACAAGGUAGCCGUAGGAGAACCUGCGGCUGGAUCACCUC
rnacentral:rRNA from 1 species